rnacentral:rRNA from 1 species
GACGUAGGGCGCGAGCGUUGUCCGGAUUUAUUGGGCGUAAAGAGCUCGUAGGCGGCUCGUUGCGUCGGCUGUGAAAACCCACAGCUUAACUGUGGGCCUGCAGCCGAUACGGGCGAGCUAGAGUUCGGUAGGGGAGACUGGAAUUCCUGGUGUAGCGGUGAAAUGCGCAGAUAUCAGGAGGAACACCGGUGGCGAAGGCGACAUCCUGGACCGGUAUUGACGCUGAGGCGCGAAAGCCAGGGGAGCAAACGGG